rnacentral:ncRNA from 1 species
UAAAAACAAAAAAGAUAAUGAAGACAAUGUUCAUAAAUACAAAUUGGUGGUGGCACUCUACAACUCCGACAGUCGUAAGGGAGCAGCGCUCGUAUGUAUAUAUGUAAUAUAUAAUAAGGAAAAUAAAAGAGCCCUGUC